GAAGUGUUAACUUAAGUUUAAAGUACCAAACUUUUAAUUUGGAAAUGUAGAUUCACACUUCA
rnacentral:tRNA from 1 species